AUGUCUGUGCACAGGGAUGCUGACACGCACAGCAGCCUAACUCGGGGUAGGGCGCGCGCGCGCGCAAGGGAUACCCGUUUUGUUGAAACUCCUACUGUGGUUCUUGGCCUGUUCUGGGACCUUACUGGGAGCCACUGGGUAGGCAGCAGAGGGACGCGGCUUCCUUACGCCCUUCGCAGCCCAGCCCAGACGGGGCACCGCACUGGGGCGAGCGGGGCCAGGGUCGCGCCAGCCCCCGCACUGGGAAAGGCGCGCGCAGGCUGUGGGUGGAAGCCCUGCCCACCUUCUCCUCCGCCCCGGGUCCACCUGGGUGUUGAGAAUGCCCCGGUUCGGAGCUCCCCAAAAAGGGUCUCCCGCGGAGAGAGCGAUCUGGGACCCGUUUUGAGCAGCAUCAGGCCCAGGCCCGAGGUCACACGGCUGAUCCCGACCUGGACUCUGGGGUCUGCGGCCUGGGCUCUGUCGCCCACUAGCCCUGCUCGGGCACACUGGGUCCCGCCGGGAUCCCGGGCUUGGAGACGCGACCCUGGAGACCGCUGGAGCGACAGGCACCCGAGGUCGACCUGCCCUCUGCGGCGCCAUAGUGGUUGGAAGCAAUCAGACCAACCCAACCGCAGCCUCGCCGGGCAGAGACCCGACAAGAGGAAGUUCCGCUGCAAAGUGGCAUUGCAGGCAAACGGUCUAGUUCGCUUGCAAAGACCCGCGGGUUCUAGAACGUGGUGGCGCGCGCCGGGGUUUGCUCCAAGCCUCGGGCGGCUGCAGCAGCCCUGCUGGCCGCCACCGCCUCCUUCCCCACCUGCUCGGGCUCUGCCCACGGCCGCGCCGCAGGGACCACACGCCGGCACCUUAAACGCACCCGAGGCGGGAGCAGCCUUCUUUUGGGGCGCCCACGGCAGUUUUCCGCGAGGGCGGCGUACUUCUCAGGGGGGUUUUUUCCUUUGGGGAGAUCGCCUCCAAUGCGGAUUGGCAAAUGGUCUGAGCCCCCUUUGCGGGACACCCAGGCAGAGUAACUUCUCCCAAUCUUUCUUCUCGUCUUGCGGGGUGUGGGAGAAACACCACCUCCCACACGGAGAUGAAUUCGCAAACUUCUAA
rnacentral:lncRNA from 1 species